rnacentral:rRNA from 1 species
UACGUAGGGUGCAAGCGUUGUCCGGAAUUAUUGGGCGUAAAGAGCUCGUAGGCGGUUUGUCGCGUCUGCUGUGAAAACCCGAGGCUCAACCUCGGGCCUGCAGUGGGUACGGGCAGACUAGAGUGCGGUAGGGGAGAUUGGAAUUCCUGGUGUAGCGGUGGAAUGCGCAGAUAUCAGGAAGAACACCCGUGGCUAAGGCGGUUCUCUAGUACGGUACUGACGCUGAGACGCGAAAGCGUGGGGAGCGAACAGG